GACCCAGUAGCGGACGGUUCCGCGCCCGCGCCCUGUAGCCAUUGAUCUGAAUCCAGCGGGAAUCCUGGUUCGACUCCAGGCUGGGUCA